rnacentral:rRNA from 1 species
ACGACGCUGGCGGCGUGCUUAACACAUGCAAGUCGAACGGAGAUUAUUAAUGAAGCUUGCGAUUUAAUAAUCUUAGUGGCGGACGGGUGAGUAACGCGUGGGCAACCUACCCAUAAGCGGGGGAUAACAGUUGGAAACGACUGCUAAUACCGCAUAAGCUAUAGAGGUCGCAUGACCUAAAUAGUAAAGGUGGCAUUUAAAGAUGCUAUCACUUAUGGAUGGGCCCGCGUCUGGAUUAGCUAGUUGGUGGGGUAGUGGCCUACCAAGGCAACGAUCAGUAGCCGGCCUGAGAGGGUGGACGGCCACACUGGGACUGAGACACGGCCCAGACUCCUACGGGAGGCAGCAGUGGGGAAUAUUGCGCAAUGGGGGAAACCCUGACGCAGCGACGCCGCGUGAGCGAAGAAGGCCUUAGGGUCGUAAAGCUCUGUUGUAAGGGACGAAUGUUUAUCUGACGAACAGUCAGAUAAAGUGACGGUACCUUACCAGCAAGCCCCGGCUAACUACGUG